GUAGUCUCGCACAGAUGCAUAUCAAUAAGCGGAGGAAAAGAAACUAACAAGGAUUCCCCUAGUAACGGCGAGUGAAGCGGGAAGAGCUCAAAUUUGAAAUCUUAAAGGGUUUCCCUUUACGAAUUGUAGUUUAAAGAAGUGUUUUCUGUUGAGGUUUUGGUAAAGUUCUUUGGAAUAGGACAUCAUAGAGGGUGAGAAUCCCGUAUUUGACCUUUACUUUCAACUUUGUGAUACACUUUCAAAGAGUCGGAUUGUUUGGGAAUGCAGUCCAAAAUGGGUGGUAAAUUUCAUCUAAAGCUAAAUAUUGGCGAGAGACCGAUAGCGAACAAGUACCGUGAGGGAAAGAUGAAAAGAACUUUGAAAAGAGAGUUAAACAGUACGUGAAAUUGUCAAAAGGGAAGCGUUUGACACCAGUGUUGUUUUUCUGAAAAUCAAUUAAAGAACUGUUUAUGCUAAGUUGUUUAGACUUUAUCAGCUAACUGUUUAGUUUUGAGCUUUUCUUUAAUGCACUUUUCAGUUAACAAGUCAACAUCAAUUUCUUUUGCUGUAAAAAAGCUUGAGGAAGGUGGCUUGAGAUUCGUCUUAAGUGUUUAUAGCCUCUUGCCUAUGCAGUCGGAGAGAUUGAGGUCUGCAGCGUAGAUCCUUCGGGGCUAAAUGCAUUUGUGCUAAGUUAUAGCAUUUUAUAGACAACUUGUUGACUAUGAUUCGUCUUGUAGCUUACUCGCUUAUGUUAUUUUACCUACGCUUAGGAUGUUGACGAGACUGUCGAUCUCAUCUAUACAUGACUCUGUGCAUAUCAAUAAGCGGAGGAAAAGGAGUAUACCUACGCUUAGGAUGUUGAAGACUCUACAGAGAUA
rnacentral:rRNA from 1 species